rnacentral:rRNA from 1 species
CCUACGGGAUGCAGCAGUGGGGAAUAUUGGACAAUGGGCGCAAGCCUGAUCCAGCCAUGCCGCGUGAGUGAAGAAGGCCUUAGGGUUGUAAAGCUCUUUCACCGGUGAAGAUAAUGACGGUAACCGGAGAAGAAGCCCCGGCUAACUUCGUGCCAGCAGCCGCGGUAAGACGGGGGGGGCAAGUGUUCUUCGGAAUGACUGGGCGUAAAGGGCACGUAGGCGGUGAAUCGGGUUGAAAGUGAAAGUCGCCAAAAACUGGCGGAAGACUCUCGAAACCAAUUCACUUGAGUGAGACAGAGGAGAGUGGAAUUUCGUGUGUAGGGGUGAAAUCCGGAGAUCUACGAAGGAACGCCAAAAGCGAAGGCAGCUCUCCGGGUCCCUACCGACGCUGGAGUGCGAAAGCAUGGGGAGCGAACGGGAUUAGAUACCCUUGUAGUC